rnacentral:rRNA from 1 species
AUUGAACGCUGGCGGCAUGCCUUACACAUGCAAGUCGAACGGCAGCACGGGGCAACCUGGUGGCGAGUGGCGAACGGGUGAGUAAUGCAUCGGAACGUACCUUUCAGUGGGGGAUAACGUAGCGAAAGUUACGCUAAUACCGCAUAUUCUGUGAGCAGGAAAGCAGGGGAUCGCAAGACCUUGCGCUGAUUGAGCGGCCGAUGUCGGAUUAGCUAGUUGGUGAGGUAAAGGCUCACCAAGGCGACGAUCUGUAGCGGGUCUGAGAGGACGAUCCGCCACACUGGAACUGAGACACGGUCCAGACUCCUACGGGAGGCAGCAGUGGGGAAUUUUGGACAAUGGGGGCAACCCUGAUCCAGCCAUGCCGCGUGAGUGAAGAAGGCCUUCGGGUUGUAAAGCUCUUUCGGCCGGGAAGAAAUCGCACGGGCUAAUACCCUGUGUGGAUGACGGUACCGGAAUAAGAAGCACCGGCUAACUACGUGACAGCAGCCGCCGCAGUAA